CAACGUCUGUGCCGUCCAUGCGCCUUGUCGACCUCUCCCUUCCACUGUAUGAUGGGAUGCCGGCGUACGACGGUGACCCACCGGUGCGCGUCACGAAGGUGUGCACACGCGAGAAAGACGGGUGGGAGGUGCGGCAUCUGCAGAUGGGUUCCCACACCGGCACGCAUGUUGACGCGCCGGCUCACAUGCACGAGGAUGGCAGCAACCUAGACGAAGUCCCGCUGACGCGGUUUUGUGGGCCGGCAGUGGUAGUGAAGGUUGCAGACUCAUCGUUCCCACCAAACAAGGGGCUACUCUUCUACGAAGCCGUGCCGGCCGAGUGUGUGCCGCGCAUUGUGGCCGCCAACGCGCCUUUUGUUGGUGGCCCGUUGGAGGAAGAGACGGAGCGGCUGCUGCUGAGUCGCGGCAUCAUCACCUACACGGACCUGGUGAACGUCGACCAACUCAUUGGCGAGUCCUUCACAUUUUACGGGCUUCCGUUGCGUAUUCGGGGCGGCGACGGCUCGCCGGUGCGCGCGGUAGCUGUCAUGGACGACGAUUAGGAAAGCAGCAGACGCAGGAGGAGGAGCGGCUCGGCGGACGCUAUCGGUAUCAGCAGGACAGGUGCGCACUCGUGUGCACCUGCGCGCGUCUCGUAGUGCGCGCAGCGGGGGCUCAUAGGCGUUUUUCCUUUGUUGUGCGUUUUAGUGCUACCCUCUCCACCCCUCCCACGGAGGCUGCUAUCGCAGUGCGUACGCAAAACCGUGGCAUGCGCGCCCCAUCUUCUUUCUCGUCGACACCUGACCCGUGCCUUUCGUCCGUGUGCGCGAGUUCAGCGCGCUUCGCGUCCGUCGUGUGUGUGUGUGUGUGUCUUUGUCUGUGCUCUGACCAGUCAGGCCAUCAGCUGACAGACGUUGCCGAGCGCACCUUCUCUUCUACGACUACACGGACGCGCAUCUGUUGGCGUUAUCUAAUGCAUUCUUGGACCACCGCCACCCUCCCUCUCCCGAUCUCUGCCUUCCACGCUGCGUCUCUGCUUCCACACUCAG
rnacentral:misc_RNA from 1 species